CAGCGACGGAUGUCUUGGCUCCCACAACGAUGAAGAACGCAGCGAAAUGCGAUACGUCUUGCGACUUGCAGAAUCCAGUGAAUCAUCAAAACUUUGAACGCAUCUUGCGCUUCCGGGAUAUGCCUGGGAGCAUGCUUGUCGGAGUGUCUGU
rnacentral:rRNA from 1 species